rnacentral:piRNA from 1 species
UCAGGAUGGUGUCCCCAAAUGCAGCUGAGA